rnacentral:rRNA from 1 species
GAUGAACGCUGGCGGCGUGCCUAAUACAUGCAAGUCGAGCGAACAGACGAGGAGCUUGCUCCUCUGACGUUAGCGGCGGACGGGUGAGUAACACGUGGAUAACCUACCUAUAAGACUGGGAUAACUUCGGGAAACCGGAGCUAAUACCGGAUAAUAUAUUGAACCGCAUGGUGCAAUAGUGAAAGACGGUUUUGCUGUCACUUAUAGAUGGAUCCGCGCCGCAUUAGCUAGUUGGUAAGGUAACGGCUUACCAAGGCAACGAUGCGUAGCCGACCUGAGAGAGUGAUCGGCCACACUGGAACUGAGACACGGUCCAGACUCCUACGGGAGGCAGCAGUAGGGAAUCUUCCGCAGUGGGCGAAAGCCUGACGGAGCAACGCCGCGUGAGUGAUGAAGGUCUUCGGAUCGUAAAACUCUGUUAUUAGGGAAGAACAAAUGUGUAAGUAACUAUGCACGUCUUGACGGUACCUAAUCAGAAAGCCACGGCUAACUACGUG